GUUUGCGCCUUAUCGCGAUUCGAACUCCAUAAUUUUUGCAAAUAUUUUAGUUCCGAAACAUAAUUCACCUAAUAGAUAUUCAAGUAAUUACCUUCAGAUCUAUAUAUGUAUGCUAAUUGGAGUGGCUAUAACAGACGUUGCAUUUGGAUUGAAGCCCGUUACAAUUUACUGAGACAUGGCGAUUGUCAGAGCUGCAAUGUUGUUGCUAUGUUUAGUGAGUCUACUGCUUUGCUGUCAGCAGGCAGUUUUUGCGGCAGUACCUUAUCGACAAGCUAAUGAUGCUCUGGUUGAUUCCAAUCUGGGCGAUGAUCUCCUGUUAGAUGCAGGGAGCAAAUAGAUGUGUUAUAAAUGUAAAAUAAAAGAUUGUUUGAAA